AUUUUAGAGAGAGAGUGUGUGGCAUGGGAGUGGAGGCAGGACGUGGAAGGAGAAUCGUGAGCCCACGCUGCACUGAACACAGACCCUGUGUGGGGCUCAAUCCCACAACCAUGAGAUCCAUCCAGAGCCAAAAUCAAGAGUCAGUCGCUUACCCUGCUGAGCCAUCAUCCAUCUCCUUGGGCAUUAGUGUUGUUCCGUUCCCUGUGAUCUGCACCACCGCUGUGCUGAACACUCCUGAAAAUACAACUGAAAAACCCAGCCAGAGCUCCUGGGGGUGAGUCCAAGGACGAGCAUGCUAGGUGAUGGGUGCACCUGCGACCUGGGAUGGGUGCUGCCCACUGCCCUCCCAGACAGGGGUGCCCAACACCCUUCUCUCCAGGGUACCAGCAGGGCUGCGUGUUCUCAGGCACCUGAGGGCCACCCGGCCCAGGAAUUCACCUUCUCCAGCAGAGGGCAGAUAGGGCGUCUUUCUCUGGCCAGGAUUAGGAACCCUGAUCCUGGGAAAGGAGAGCUCUUCUGGACUCCUGGCCCAGCCAAGCAGCCGUGGGCACGGUGUAUGUGACGGAGCCAGAGCGGCUGGGCCUUGGAGGGAAUGAGUGUCUUAAACCAGCUUUGCACAGGUCAUGCGGGAGCAGUGGCCCCUGCUUCUUGGUGAGCAGUGAUGUGCGUGGAAGGAAGGAGGCCGGGGUGGAGCCUUCCCAGCCACACCACAGUCUCUCCCUUGGUCCUGAAACCAGCAGGAAGGGAGCUCCGAGGGUGGAGACGAGACUCCAGGAGGAUUUCCAUCCAGGGAAAGGAGGCCCGCAGCCCCCGGAGGGCACUGAAGCUGCCAGCCCCGCCGGCCCCCAGGCCAUUUGCACAGGAUCACCUCCGGCACUUCCGUAGAAUGUUGUCCGUGUUUGUGUGUGGACAGUGAUUGGCCCACUCAGUGCUGGUGCAUUUCCAGAGGCAGACUAGCCAGUGCCUGCUAGUGGGACAGAAGACCCCCACCCAGAGAAGCCGAGGAUGUCCCUCUUCCUCCGGGGCUGGGGAAGGCAGCCACUGUCCUGGGGCAGGACCUGGUCCAGGUCCAGGACGCCUGGGACCCUGCAAGAGUUCUUCAUUCACUUGUCAGCCAAGCAAGUGAAAGAACCAACCCCCCCCCCACAAUGCUCAGGUUCUAACCGAAGCAGAAUUUCCAUGUACUCUUCAAGUCCAGAUUUACUGUGUGCAGCAAGGACGCCUGCCCCUCCCCACUAGGUGUUGCUGGUCGACCAGGAGGGGGAGUCUGGCUGGAGGGACAGGUGGUAGCUACAGGACAGAGCAACACGUCUGAGCUAGCAGAAGCCACACUCUGGUCUCCCUCCCAGAGCCUGCCCGGGAGCUGGAAUCUGGGUGCCCUAGGGGCCAGCACACAACAGGGUCUGUGCCGACCAGGGAGCCAUGGCCCCCAGGGAGAGUCCACUCUGUCCUCUCCCCACUCAUGCCCGUCCUCACCUCUCCUCACUGUGCGGCUCCUGGGCCCAGAACCAGGCCCACAGGGCUGCUCAG